UACGUAGGGUGCGAGCGUUAAUCGGAAUUACUGGGCGUAAAGCGUGCGCAGGCGGUUUUGUAAGCCAGAUGUGAAAGCCCCGGGCUUAACCUGGGAACUGCAUUUGGGACUGCAAGGCUUGAGUACGGCAGAGGGGGGUAGAAUUCCUGGUGUAGCAGUGAAAUGCGUAGAUAUCAGGAGGAAUACCAAUGGCGAAGGCAGCCCCCUGGGUCGAUACUGACGCUCAUGCACGAAAGCCAGGGGAGCAAACGGG
rnacentral:rRNA from 1 species